GACGAACGCUGGCGGCGUGCCUAAUACAUGCAAGUAGAACGCUGAAGGAGGAGCUUGCUUCUCCGGAUGAGUUGCGAACGGGUGAGUAACGCGUAGGUAACCUGCCUGGUAGCGGGGGAUAACUAUUGGAAACGAUAGCUAAUACCGCAUAAGAGUAGAUGUUGCAUGACAUUUGCUUAAAAGGUGCAAUUGCAUCACUACCAGAUGGACCUGCGUUGUAUUAGCUAGUUGGUGGGGUAACGGCUCACCAAGGCGACGAUACAUAGCCGACCUGAGAGGGUGAUCGGCCACACUGGGACUGAGACACGGCCCAGACUCCUACGGGAGGCAGCAGUAGGGAAUCUUCGGCAAUGGACAGAAGUCUGACCGAGCAACGCCGCGUGAGUGAAGAAGGUUUUCGGAUCGUAAAGCUCUGUUGUAAGAGAAGAACGAGUGUGAGAGUGGAAAGUUCACACUGUGACGGUAUCUUACCAGAAAGGGACGGCUAACUACGUGC
rnacentral:rRNA from 1 species